AUGCAAAGUACUUUGAAAAGAGAGUUAAACAGGGCUUGAAACCGUUAAGAGUGAAGCGAAGGAGGUCAGUGAUCAUGGGGCCAGAUCCCCAAGUGCCUAUUUAUUAGAAACGGGCACCGUAACGUUCUGGUUUCCCGGGGCAGCGCCGGCUAGGGAUGGGUGUGAACGGGGAGGUGCUUGAGGGAUUGAUUUUCCGGCCGUACUCCCCUGAAGGCUCGUCAUCCUGGCCGAGGGAUCCGCGAUUCGUCGUGUGAGGGCGCUGUCAAAAUGGCCUUCUCCACCCCGUCUUGAAACACGGACCAAGGAGUCUAACAUACUCGCGAGUGUUUGGGUAGCUAAAACCCGAACGCACAAUGAAAGUAAACGGUGGCUCUGCGCUGCUGCUUGGUGGGAACCCUAACCUUAUACCUGGGGGCACCAUCACCCGACCCCAAUCCCUUCGGGGUGGUUGGUUUCGUGGCAGAGCGAGUAUGAUGGGACCCGAAAGAUGGUGAACUAUUCCUGAGUAGGGCGAAGCCAGAGGAAACUCUGGUGGAGGCUCGUAGCGAUGCUGACGUGCAAAUCGCUCGUCGAACUUGGGUAUAGGGGCGAAAGACUAAUCGAACCAUCUAGUAGCUGGUUCCCUCCGAAGUUUCCCUCAGGAUAGCGAGAGCAAAUGCAAGUCAGUAUCAUCC
rnacentral:rRNA from 1 species